rnacentral:lncRNA from 1 species
GUUUAUUUUUACUAUGUAUAUAUCAAUUUGUUUGAAGUCAAUUUAAUUAUAGGAUUUAAAUAAUAAUAUUUCAUUCUAUAACGCGCGCGUGUGCAUACUUUUUCUCUCAUUCAAACGAGAUUAAUUGUUAUUUUAGAUUAAUGUUUAAUACAUUUAUGGAAAUCACUUUUAAAAUGCAAAAUAUUUGAUCGAGCAAACAAAUAUAUGUGAUGUAAUUUUGUUUUAUAAAAUAUUGAAUAUUUCUAGACGAUAAGUAGUCUGUGUUUAUCGUUGUCCUUGUUAUUUCCAAAUCUUUAAGCGCGGACUAAUUAUAAUUAUGUGAAUUGUUAAUUGUAAAAUGUUGGUUGGAAAUUAUAAUUUAUUUCCAAUGACAUUGCGUUUUAAUAUGUGAAGUGACACGCACUACCACUACUUAUUCGUUCAAAUAUCGGUGAGCAAAUAAGAUCAUGUUUUAUAAACACAAAGUGCCAUAAUAAUUCUAAUUCUUAUUGAUAUCUUGCUUAUAGCUUUGAUACUUAUUGCGAUGUACAACUUACUUUUACAAAAGAUCUUUACACUAUUAUUCACCCAUUAACACUCGAGCAAAAAAAUAGCAGUGCGUAUUUCUCUACUAUUAAAAUACGAUCACGCUAGAAAGUAAGAACGAUUACUCCUUAUGAAUAUUUUGUGGUUAAUAAUUUAAAUAUAAUCAGCUUUUGAGCUUAAGAAUUCGUAAGUGUAGAUAACGAUUAUGUCACGAUUGAUGUUUUAUUCCUACACUUGAAAUAAGAAUCGAUAUAUAAUUAGAACUAUAAAUUUCUUGUUUCGUGAUAGUCUCGAGUAAUGAAUAUUUUUUAAAAGGCUGUUUAACCUUGCAGAGCUAACGUCAAAUCUGAAACAUACGUACUGACGCUGGAUCUGUGAAAUCUACUUAAUUUAUGUUGACUAACAGGUACUAAUUAAUUUCAAUUCAAGAAACCAAAAAGAUAUAACUUAUAUAAAAGGGAAUGAAUAUUAACAAGGUCCCCAACAAUUUUCACCGUUUUCAAUGAAGUUUUGUGAGCAUUUCAUUCAUACUUUUAUACCAUUUACUUUACAAAACAAUAGAACCCAAUUAUUUAGGUGUUUCAAGAAAAUUAAGAUAAACGUUUUCAUAGCAAUACAUUAAGCCAUUAAGGUUUAUGACUAAUGAGCAGCAAGAGUAGGAAAAAAAGUUGGAUAGAAUCAAAAAUAAAAUAAUAUUUUUUAAGUAAAAAUUACACAUUGCAAAAAUACAUUGUGAUAAACAAGUUAUUAAAGAUUUAUCAGAGAAAAAUUACAUCAUCUGAUUCUACGGAAAAAGUUACUAACGGAAGACAUAUAACUUUUUUAUAAAUUGUUUUUGUUUAUAGAGAAAAAAGUUAAUGUUAGGAAAAUUUUUAGCGCUAUUUUUUCGAGAAUGCUUCAAAAUUAAUUCUAUGAAUUUGCAUCGCAUGAGUGAAUACUACAUACAUAAUAUAAAAUUUCGUUAAAGUCGAUAAUGACAGACUGCCGGGUUCCUUUGUAAAUUUAUUUUAAUAACAAUCGUUAAAGAUUUGUAAUUGAGGCAUAGUCUACAAUGAAGAUUUAAGCUUUAAAUUUAAACCAUAAGAAAUUGACCGAUCACAGUCGAUUUUUAUAAAAAUACUCACUUGUGAUUAGACAAUUUCUUACGGCUUAAAGCUUAAGUCUUUAUUGUAGACUACGCCUUACUGUAUAGCCAGUAGACGUAUCAUCAGUUUUGGAGGAUUAAAUUUAAAAUACUUUUUUUUGUCGGUUUAAUCCUAAUUAACUUCGGUGUAUUUAUCUUGUUUAUAUUCGCACAAUAAAAGUUGGCAAAUAACAUCGCGAGCCGCUCGAUCUGUAUUUUGUCAUUAGUUCUUUCAAAACGAAAGCUUGAGAUAAGAGUAAUUGUUAGAAGAAAACGUGAUUUCUCCUUGCAAAUAGUUAGCAAUAAUUAACCUUCAAUUAUUUAAUUUUUACAAUAAAACGUCUUAUAUUAACUUUGAACCAAUAAACGAUUUAAAAAGCAGUAAUUCAAAUAAUUCAACGCGUAUCGCAGCUUCGUGCAAUCGUACCUCUCUCUUAUUCUCUUCUGUCACAAUGAAGUAUGUGCGCGUCGUCGAUGAUUGACAUCGAGAGUCCCGUUUACAUUAUCACGUGAACAUCAUCGUAUUUUGUUUAUUAAUGCUAGUGUGCGCGUGAUAGUAAGGUCAGCGCGUUGACCGUGUUUUCAUGAAUGAAUAAAUUUUGCGAUCCAGCAAGGAAACCUGAGAGCUGGAAAAGAUUUGGGAGAUUAGGCAACGGCAAAGCAUGAGUAAAUAAAUUUAUUAUUUUAUAAUAAUAAUAAUUAUUGUUAUUAUGACAUGCGCCUUUAAUUAGCGUUUUAAACAUUAUUAAUGUAUCUCAAUGAUUAAAGUGCUAAGACACUCGUCCGGGAAGAUUUUUGUUUCAAUCCCUGGCUGUGGUGUUAUCGCAAUAAAUUUACAAUAUUUAGGGAAGGAAUUAGGGUGAGGAAAGAACGCUUGUUAAAACACACACAUUAUUAUUAUGACAUUGAUUAUUAAUUUAAUAUCGCGCAAUAUUAUAAUUUUUGUUUAACUUAUAACUAUAUUUCAAGACCAAAAAUUUAUUCGGCGUUUAGUUUGAUAAACCUGAAGUAAUAUAUAAAAUCACAUAUAAAAAAUCAUACAAGAAAUAUUAGCACGAAAAAAUUUAGCUAUGACCGAAUAAGCUUGGCCUAUUUUUAAUUAGUUUUAUUUUCACAUAUCAGUAAUAUUUUCUUUUUAUAUUUAUUAUUUAUUAUUUUAUUUAUUAAUUGUACAAAGAAAUUAUUAAUAAUAAUUUAAUGCAAUAGUUGUUUUUUUAAUAUCUAUUAUUUUUGGUAUUAUUUUAAUUUGAAUAUAAUUUUUAUAUUUUGCAGUUCAAAGCGAUUUGCAACACGGCUCUUCCAAUUCCGCUGAUGUACAUCGUAUUGGAGAUGAACAAUUGUAUACGUGCAUCAAGUUGACGGCAUAAGAAUAAGAUUGAUAGAUGUGAUAUCAUGAUCCAUUGCCUGAAAAUGGAUAAAGUAAUGAUAGCUAGAUAAAGACUAAGAUUAUAAAAAUGUUGAUAAGCAUAAUAUGUACUUCAAAUCAUCUAGUUUAUUAUUCAUAUAAGGAUAUCGACAGCUCAAA